rnacentral:rRNA from 1 species
AGGGUUCGAUUAUGGCUCAGAACGUACGCUGGCGGCACGCCUAACACAUGCAAGUCGAACGAAGUAGCAAUACUUAGUGGCAGACGGGUGAGUAACAUGUAGGUAUCUGCCCUUUGGCCUGGAAUAACACGAGGAAACUUGUGCUAAUACCGGAUAAGUCUUUACGGAGAAAGCUUUAUGCACCAUUGGAUGAGCCUGCACUUGAUUAGUUUGUUGGUGGGGUAAUGGCCUACCAAGACUGUGAUCAAUAGCUGAUUUGAGAGGAUGAUCAGCCACAUUGGGACUGAGACACGGCCCAAACUCCUACGGGAGGCAGCAGUGGGGAAUCUUGCACAAUGGAGGAAACUCUGAUGCAGCGAUGCCGCGUGAGUGAAGAAGGCCCUUGGGUUGUAAAGCUCUUUCGUCGGGGAAGAAAAUGACUGUACCCGAAUAAGAAGGUCCGGCUAACUUCGUGCCAGCAGCCGCGGUAAUAC